AGUGAACGCUGGCGGUAGGCCUAACACAUGCAAGUCGAACGGCAGCACAGUAAGAGCUUGCUCUUACGGGUGGCGAGUGGCGGAUGGGUGAGGAAUAAAUCGGAAUCUACUUUUUCGUGGGGGAUGACGAAGGGAAACUUACGCUAAUACCGCAUACGACCUACGGGUGAAAGCAGGGGAUCUUCGGACCUUGCGCGAUUGAAUGAGCCGAUGUCGGAUUAGCUAGUUGGCGGGGUAAAGGCCCACCAAGGCGACGAUCCGUAGCUGGUCUGAGAGGAUGAUCAGCCACACUGGAACUGAGACGCGGUCCAGACUCCUACGGGAGGCAGCAGUGGGGAAUGUUGGACAAUGGGCGCAAGCCUGAUCCAGCCAUACCGCGUGGGUGAAGAAGGCCUUCGGGUUGUAAAGCCCUUUUGUUGGGAAAGAAAAGCAGCAGGUUAAUACCCCGCUGUUCUGACGGUACCCAAUGAAUAAGCACCGGCUAACUUCGUG
rnacentral:rRNA from 1 species